rnacentral:rRNA from 1 species
CGUGUGCUUACAAGUAGUCAGAGCCCGUUAAUGGGUGAUGGCGUGCCUUUUGUAGAAUGAACCGGCGAGUUACGAUUUGAUGCAAGGUUAAGCAGUAAAUGUGGAGCCGUAGCGAAAGCGAGUCUGAAUAGGGCGUUUAGUAUUUGGUCGUAGACCCGAAACCAGGUGAUCUACCCUUGGUCAGGUUGAAGUUCAGGUAACACUGAAUGGAGGACCGAACCGACUUACGUUGAAAAGUGAGCGGAUGAACUGAGGGUAGCGGAGAAAUUCCAAUCGAACCUGGAGAUAGCUGGUUCUCUCCGAAAUAGCUUUAGGGCUAGCCUCAAGUGAUGAUUAUUGGAGGUA